UACGAAGGGGGCUAGCGUUGCUCGGAAUGACUGGGCGUAAAGGGCGCGUAGGCGGUUCAUACAGUCAGAUGUGAAAUUCCCGGGCUUAACCUGGGGGCUGCAUUUGAUACGUGUGGGCUUGAGUGAGGAAGAGGGUUUGUGGAAUUCCCAGUGUAGAGGUGAAAUUCGUAGAUAUUGGGAAGAACACCGGUGGCGAAGGCGGCAACCUGGUCCUUUACU
rnacentral:rRNA from 1 species